GGGGGCAUAGCCCAGUCGGUUAGAGCGCUUGUUUCACAUACAAGAGGUCACAGGUUCGAGUCCUGUUGUCCCCACCA
rnacentral:tRNA from 1 species